ACGGAGGAUGCGAGCGUUAUCCGGAUUUAUUGGGUUUAAAGGGAGCGCAGACGGUUUGUUAAGUCAGUUGUGAAAGUUUGGGGCUCAACCUUAAAAUUGCAAUUGAUACUGGCAGACUUGGGUGCAGAUGAGGUAGGCGGAAUUCGUGGUGUAGCGGUGAAAUGCUUAGAUAUCACGAAGAACUCCGAUUGCGAAGGCAGCUUACCAAACUGUAACUGACGUUCAUGCUCGAAAGUGUGGGUAUCAAACAGGAUUAGAUACCCUGGUAGUCCACACGGUAAACGAUGAAUACUCGCUGUUGGCGAUAGACAGUCAGCGGCCAAGCGAAAGCAUUAAGUAUUCCACCUGGGGAGUACGCCGGCAACGGUG
rnacentral:rRNA from 1 species